CUCUAAAGUUCCAGGUUGUACAAUAAGACGGUCUGUAUGGGACCAUAGCCCCUCCAAUCCUUAUGCACAGCAACCCAAUGGAGCAUCAUCAUCAAUAUCAAAUGAGAAAACCUCCAGUGAUAAGAAGGAAGAUGGUUCAAGNAUAAGAAGGAAGAUAGUUCAAGCAAUGUUGGGAAACUGGCAAAAAUCGUUGACGUAAGCGAAAUGUCAAAGGGACCGCAAGAUAUUCCAGGUCAUUGGUUGGUAACAGGAGCCAAGCUUGGGGUGGACAAGGGAAGGAUUGUUUUACGUGUGAAGUACUCCUUAUUGAAUUAUUGAUAAUUGCUUCUAUAUUUUUAGGAUUACCAUUUUUUUUUCCCCACUUGUAUGCAUAGUUCAGGCG
rnacentral:misc_RNA from 1 species